UACGGAGGGGACUAGCGUUGUCCGGAAUUAUUGGGCGUAAAGGGCUCGUAGGCGGUUUGUCGCGUCGGGAGUGAAACUCAGGGCUUAACCCUGAGCCUGCUUCCGAUACGGGCAGACUAGAGGUAUGCAGGGGAGAACGGAAUUCCUGGUGUAGCGGUGAAAUGCGCAGAUAUCAGGAGGAACACCGGUGGCGAAGGCGGUUCUCUGGGCAUUACCUGACGCUGAGGAGCGAAAGUGUGGGAGCGAACAGG
rnacentral:rRNA from 1 species